rnacentral:rRNA from 1 species
GUACACACCGCCCGUCACACCAUGAGAGUUGAGAACUACCCGAAGCCCAUGUCAAAGUGGGUCGAAGGUAGGCUUGAUGAUUGGGGUGAAGUCGUAACAAGGUAAC